AAAUUGAAGAGUUUGAUCAUGGCUCAGAUUGAACGCUGGCGGCAGGCCUAACACAUGCAAGUCGAGCGGUAGCACAGAGAGCUUGCUCUCGGGUGACGAGCGGCGGACGGGUGAGUAAUGUCUGGGAAACUGCCUGAUGGAGGGGGAUAACUACUGGAAACGGUAGCUAAUACCGCAUAAUGUCGCAAGACCAAAGUGGGGGACCUUCGGGCCUCAUGCCAUCAGAUGUGCCCAGAUGGG
rnacentral:rRNA from 2 species